rnacentral:lncRNA from 1 species
GUGCCUAGAAUGGGCAUUGUCUCUGCUGCCCCCACCCUUGGAAUAUCUCGCCUCUCCCCAGUCACCUGGGGGUGGGUUCUGUUUGAGUUAGGUGUCUGCGCCCACCCCGGAGACCUCUCUCGUGGAAGAGGCAAGAGUGGGUGUACUGGCUUCGGUCCUGACCCAGGGGGUUGGGGUGGGGGCCUGACUCACCCUCCCAUCACUCCUUCCCCAUUUCCUUUCUCUCACCCUCCUGGGCUCCUUCCUUUUCCCAAUCCCCCUCUACCCCCGUCCAGACUAUCUGGCUUUCCCUGCUCUUGCUCCUUCCUCUCCUGUCUUCUCUCUCCCUGCUACCUUCCCUCCCCGCUUCCCCCAUUUCUGUCUGCCCUCCUUCCACUUUCCCAUAUAUUCGCCUGUGUCCUUGCUGACUCCUGGGCGAGGCUGAGUGGCACAGUCACUUGGUUCCAUGUCACCUCCUCGGUUCCAUUUCACUUCCCCCAUCCCAUCAUGUCCUGCG